ACGAAUAACCAAACUAAAAGUGAUUAACCAAAAUAACAUAAAUUAUAAAAAAUGAAGACAAUUAAAUAACAAUCAAAAUUAAUUCCAAUUAAAUAGACAAAAGAUUAACUCAUUUAAGUGUUCCUAAUUAACUUCAGAACUCGGGUUUUAUCGAGUUAGUUAUUAAUUAACCAGUUAUUACCUCUCGGCCUCCAACUAAU
rnacentral:lncRNA from 1 species